rnacentral:rRNA from 1 species
CCUACGGGGGACAGCAGUCGAGAAUCAUUCACAAUGGGGGAAACCCUGAUGGUGCGACGCCGCGUGGGGGAAUGAAGGUCUUCGGAUUGUAAACCCCUGUCAUGUGGGAGCAAAUUAAAAAGAUAGUACCACAAGAGGAAGAGACGGCUAACUCUGUGCCAGCAGCCGCGGUAAUACAGAGGUCUCAAGCGUUGUUCGGAAUCACUGGGCGUAAAGCGUGCGUAGGCUGUUUCGUAAGUCGUGUGUGAAAGGCGCGGGCUCAACCCGCGGACGGCACAUGAUACUGCGAGACUAGAGUAAUGGAGGGGGAACCGGAAUUCUCGGUGUAGCAGUGAAAUGCGUAGAUAUCGAGAAGAACUCUCAUGGCGAAGGCAGGUUCCUAAACAGUAACUGACACUGAGGCUCGAAGGUCAGGGUAUCGAACGGGAUUAGAUACCCUAGUAGUC